UUGAGAGUAAAAGGUUUUGUGAAACUUAAAAGGGUUCUCCUAUGGCAUCAGGCUGAAAGACCAUUAUUGGUUCUAAUUGAAAACUUUAUUUUUUAGAGUGCAAUAUGAGGCAAGUUAAGCCAUAACAACAUUUUUGUUUGGAACCCCAUUGUUUGUGGUCUAUUUGAGUUAGGCACACAGCUAAGGUUUCACUUGAUGGCACACAUCCAGAACUUGCAUUAGUUUCAUUUCUAUCUCACAUUCCCUCAGUUAUAGGUCGACGUAAGUUAAAAACGGCUCAUCUUACCCCACCCUCUCCUGUUCCACAAGUAGGGUGUGUGUUUUUAUUUUUCAGGUGAUUUCUCAGGGGAAUAUUCUUCAUCAUGUCACAUGUGCAAUUUGGGGUGAUAACAUGUUGAAAUGUACCUUUAUUUCUUUUCCAAGUCGGAACAGAUAAUCACAUGUAUUUUUUUUUUAAGUCUCCUGUAAUAAUAACGUUUUUCCCCUUUAAGAUCAUGUGACAUGUCAAGUCCACCAAGUUUUGUUUUCCUUUCCUCCCUCCUCAUGAAGUUGCGCAACAUGUUGCCAUUAAAAGCCUGAGAUCUCAGUGAGCCUGCUCAGAACGCCAGUGAAAGGAGGAACAUGGCAGAGAAUCGGGUGAGGGACAUGUACGAGGGAGUAGACCCAGAUGAAAUGACUGAAAAAGAGAAAGAAGAGCACAUAGCGAGAACUCUUCGUGAAAACCCAGAUGUUCUGUUUAGAAUAUAUUGCCAAGGCAGACCGCAUAUGGUCUUCUUGAGGCCAACUAACCCUGGGGAGUGGACGAGGGUGAUUCUGAGCAGGAUCACAACCAACCUGUCUUUUCAGAUGACUAAGAAACGUGGCGUAGACGCCAUCUUCACAAUCAUCAUGUCUGGCACUCAAGAGGAGCUUGGACGUCUCUGUGAUGAUUUUGAUCAGCUCUAUGUCGAGGUCAUGACAAACAGCCAGGAUGGAGGAGCAGCAGCACAGAGGAACCCAGAGGAUGAUGUUGAGGAGGACAGAGCGAGAAUCAAAGAGCUGGACCUGGAGAACAAGAAGCUUCAGAAGCAGUAGAUGUCCAAAUCCAAGCCCCAUGUACCUACCGCUGGUCUCCUUUCAUCGCUGCAGUGGGAGUGGAUGAAGUUGUGUAUAAAUAUAUUAUUAGAACUAUAUUAUUAACUGUCAUUUUCAAAAUCCCUACACCGAAUACUGAAAAAUCUCCUACGCAUACCAGAUCAUCUGAUACGUAUACUUCAUCCUUUUAUUUCUAGAAGUGACGAAUAUUCAUUUAGCUAAGACUCAGCACUAGAUUCCCAGAUAGCAGACUAACACUGAAUCAACAUUGAAUCAACACUGAAUCAACACUGAAUCAAUACUGAAUCAACACUGAAUCAACAUUGAAUCAACAUUGAAUCAAUACUGGAUCAACGUUAAUGCAUCAACCAUAUUAUCAUUGAGUCAGUGUUGAAAUUUGAAAUGAGAUUUUUUUAUCAGAUUUGCACACUGAAACAACGAAAAACAGAUCAAGACGGACAAAAUAUAUAUCAAUAUUUGUUCAACUACAUGGAAGGGUCAUGAGGUCACAAAAUGAACAGGAUUCAUCCUAUGAGGAGCACAAAUAUGCUCACUAAAUUUCAUGGAAACGCAUCCAGUUGAUUUGCGUUGUGUUGAAUGAGGGGACAUUAAAUCUAAGCCCCACCAGUGGGGAAAUGAAGCUGACCAGAAAAUCAACACUGAUUCACUGUUUGUCUUCUCAACACUGAAUCAACACUGAAUCAACACUGAUUCACUGUUUGUCUUCUCAACGCUGAAUCAACACUGAUUCACUGUUUGUCUUCUCAACACUGAAUCAACACUGAUUCACUGUUUGUCUUCUCAACACUGAAUCAACACUGAUUCACUGUUUGUCUUCUCAACACUGAAUCAACACUGACUCAACACUGAUUCACUGUUUGUCUUUUCAACACUGAAAAGCUAAUGAAUUAUCAACGUUGAUUCAAUAUUAUUUAGUAUUGAAUAUUCAACCUCAACCAAAAUGAUGAUUCUGAUGGAAUUUCAACAUUGAAUCAAUGUCACCUUGCUAUCUGGGUUUAAUCUGACUCAUGCAUUAUGUAUAUGUUUGUUUGUUUGUUUGUUUGUUUGCUAUAAAGUCUUAACAACCUUCAUGCUGUUAUAUCACCUGGAAAUAGAAUUAAAAUCUCCAUUUUGCUUAUUUCAUUGUAUUUUAGAAUAUUAUUUCCAAUUACUGUCUUUUUCUUUCAUUUCAUAAACAUUUAAUAACAUUUAAUGUUCAAUUUAAUAAACAGUUAAUAAAGUGACUUUUAUAACGAC